rnacentral:rRNA from 1 species
UACGAAGGGGCUAGCGUUGCUCGGAAUCACUGGCGUAAGCGCACGUAGGCGGCUUGUUAAGUCAGGGUGAAUCCUGGAGCUCAACUCCAGAACUGCCUUGAUACUGGCGAGCUUGAGUUCGGAGAGGUGAGUGGAACUGCGAGUGUAGAGGUGAAAUUCGUAGAUAUUCGCAAGAACACCAGUGGCGAAGGCGGCUCACUGGCCCGAUACUGACGCUGAGGAGCGAAGCGUGGGAGCGAACAGG